CCAACAAAACUACCACCCUAUUUUAAUUUUAAAAAUGACAGUCUGCAUCCUGCAGUGUGUGUCUGCAGCAGUGGGUGGAUUCUCUGGCAAAUUUAAUAGCCACAGAAUCACACAGAGCCCUGACUAUUACCAAAUGGUGUGUGAUAAACAAAUGCAGAAACUUAUUUUACUAAAAUAUUCUCUUCAUUUAGUACUUAAAUACACUAGCAGUGGCCUUUUGAAAAGCCUUGGGUCAUGGAGCAACAAUUGCUGUUGGAGUCUCUGGGCUGCUUCAUUGUUUAUUUAACUUGACAGCAAGCUAGCUACAGUUUCACAAUUUAGAUCAUUUAUUUUUAUGGUCAAAAUGUUUGUACAGUAGCAAAACAGCUUAGUGUAUCUCUGCAAUGAAAGAGUGCCCCAUUCUGCAGCUGCUCUGCCUUUCUUUAGUUGAGGCUUCGUGCAGAGUGGGUGCUUCAGAAACUUGGCAAACUGUUAGAUCAGCCAUGCGCUAGCCUGCACUGCUUUCCCUGAUGUGUGAGUAUGCUGUGCCCACAACAAGAAUACCUUGGGAAGCUCAUCCCAGAAUUGCUCACUAACAUAUCAGGUAAACCUUGGGGGGAAAAAGAGAUUCUGCAAUUUCCCUUGAAUGAGAGAGCACACAGAUACAAAAGUACAAUUUAAGAGCUUCCUCAACAGUGCUAUUAAUGUGCCAGUGAUGUUAAUUUUUGUGUUAUAUAGGAAUGUUUCAUUGAACGUAAGGAAAACCAGCAAGUAAUGACAUUUUAUACCAACAGGUGCUUGGGGUGGUCAGUGAUGGAUCCUCUUGGAAUCUUCAGUGGCCUUUAGUGUUGCCUGUGAAUAUUCAUUCGCUGCAUCUGAGUCCAGUAGAUAAUGUAUCUUAAGAAAAAAUAAGAUCUCCAUCUGCUUCCUCUCGUACACUUCCACCAAAGUGCUAGGAGAGCAUAAGGAAAAGUACAGAAAAAAGAGGACUUUUUCUUGCAGAUCUCCUGUUUUAUCCACAGCAUGAGAUUCUGUGACCUAGGGCAGUAGCACGGAGUUGAAGACAGGAGGUUUUUGUGAGGACCCAGAAUCUGAGCAACAUCUAGACAGGACACCUAGAAAGAGGAAACCUUGGUGAGUACAAGUCUUUUGAUGUCUUUGGGGAUUUUCAGUGGCAAGAGCUGAAGCCAGCAGCCAGUAUUUGGCUCACCGGGCUUUCUGUAGAUGUGAGCACCACCUACGCCAGUGGCAAACGAUGGUCCCUCAUAUUGUUCAUAAGAAGAAAGUGAGGCUUUGGUGCCAUGAAUCCACCCACGGAGAAGAGUCCCACUACUGCAGGAGGACUAUAGCACAGGCAGAAGUACCAGCUUGGCCCCAGGUUGGACAGUCUUCAUCUGGCAGAAAAAGAGUGGCAGGAUUCCUUGUUUCUCCUGAUCUCUGCUCAUGCAGGUCUCCUAAAUUUUGAUAGUUUUCUGGACCUGAAUCACAACUGCAGCUUGCUGCUAUAUGAAAACUGGGACACAGAGAGGUGAAAUGACAUAACUGCUCUAUACUUGGAGUUCAGCAAGGAAACUGACAGUAGGCAUCAGCACUCCCAACUCAUGGUCUACCUUUCGUGAAAGAACACGGAAGAGGAAAGAAAUGACAGUAAGACUGAAUUAUGAACUCUUAGAAGUCGAGAACAAGAACUGAUUGUAUUGUGAAAGCUGAAUUCACUACUCGCGAUUAACGCCGGCAAUAGCAGUUGGCGGUGAUCGCAUGCACGAGAUUGCUGAAGCAGAUGGAGCACAUGUAUUACUCACACAGAUGGCCACUGUUGAUGCAGAUCAAAAGCUUCCUCUGAAACUCAUGUAAUGCAGCAGGCCAGUUCACAACACCACAUUGCAGUGAAAGUUUACAUGGCGAGACUUCAUCCGCAUGAUACAUGUCAUGUAUCCCUAUCCUGCUCCUAACAGGUCACCCUUUGAUCUGUUCAUUAUUCUAUUCCACGUCGAAAGGUUUCAGCUUUCCUAUACAGAAGCUGAUGAAACAAGGAGUUUUAUUGUCUCAGCCUGUUUGAUUUCCAGACUUUCAUAAAGAGGAUCAAGGAAGCAGACCAGAUGCUCAUUAGGAUAUGAUGGCUUCAGUAUCUCUUUGGUUCCAAUAUAACUCUCUUCUGGGGAUGGGUAUUCAAGCUCUAUUAGUGGCUGUUCACUUCAUAGCUUUUACUAUAUUGCAUUCUGAUUUUCUCUGUGAUCAUGGAGUGCUGCAAGAUACAUUUUCUCCAGGGCCACUGUGUCAUAUGUGUGUCACAUGUUUAAUGUUAGUGCUAGAGAAGAAAGCAUGGGCAGAAAUUUAUACUAUUCAGAUCCUAGCUUCAGUUGCACUGCUCUGUGGUAGAGAACCUUUUUCUGUUACAAUUUAUUUUUUAAGUAAUGGGAAUAUACCUUCUUGUCUCCAAAUCAUUCAGUAUCUUUCUUAUCUCCUGGAGAGAUAAAACUAUAGUUAGAAUUAGUAGGAAGGUUACUUUUUUUUUCACCUUUGGAAAAUGUAAAAUGAGAUAGAGAAAAUUUCCUGUCAAAGUCCAGAAAAAUAGAUUUUUUCUUUCUUUCUAUAAUUUGCCAGUUAAAAUGCAGUAGCUUGCUUCUUCUCUCUCUCACUGACUUCAAAUAAGUCGUUAAAGUUGUUGUAGUAUAAUCUGCCAGGUGGCUGUGCCACACACAGCCAUUUGCUUACUCCUUCCCUUCCUAGUGGGAUGUGGGAGAGGAUAAAAAACAACAACAACAAAAUCAAACUAGAGAGUUGAGAUAUAGCUAUUUACUAAGAUAGAGAAAAGGAAAGCAAUAAUAGUUAUGAUAAUAUACAUGUAGGUAUAUAUACACAUCAAUCUAUGUAGCAAAUGAUGCACAAACAAUUGCUCAUCACUCACCAACUGAUGCCCUAGUGGAAGUGGGUCCAGCAGCGGAAGAAAAAAAGUUGAACACUCAUUCCUUUCAAAACUCCUUUUUCAUGAUGUUAUCUGGUAUGGAAUACACCUUUGGCCAGUUUAAGACAACUUUCCUAAUUCUUUUCAUUCCCAGCUCCUUUGGCCUUUCACUGAGAAUGGCCUUGACUCUGUACAGUACUGCUUAGCAGCAACUAUAAAUAUCAAUGUGUUAUCAACAUCAUUGUUCUCCUAGAACCAAAGCAUAGCAUCAUACCAGACACUCUGAAGAAAACAAUUCCAUUCCAGCUGAAAUUAAGACACAAGUUUAGAAAACUUCAGAUGUUUCUGCCCAAAGGUUUGUGGCCUGAACAAUUUAUGAAGAAGCCGAUCUAUUUAAAAAUGAGUUUUCUGCUAAUUCUAUUUACAUAUGUAGAUCUGAGAUUUAGUGAGCUAAUAUUUAAUCAGAAAUAAAUAAGCAAAUAAAAACUAUAAUAUUCCCCAAAUUAUUUUGUUCUUUCCUUAGAAGACAGAGCUUCAUUUAUUCAAGAAUUAUCUCAAAAUAAUCACUCUUUCUAUGCAAUCACAUAAUGAAACUUUUCAUCAAAAGCCGCUACAUUUGCUUUUUUUGACAGAGUAAGACUUGAAGUUUGUAUCACAUCUUUAUUCUGUCAACCUCCUGAACUGAGUGCAUCAACAAAAGAGUUUUUUGAAUGUUUCUUUUUCAGAUGUUCACUAAUCUAAUAUAUAGAGUUGGAAAUCAGUUAGGGCAAGACACCGAACUUAUGAAAAAUUGAUCUGCCAAAUCUCUAUAGAGUAGAAGAAAUAUCAGGAAAAUUUAGUCUGUUGAAAGCAAUUUACUCAACUAAGAGAAUUUGAAAAUUGUGAAUGAACAGGAUCAAUAGUAAUAGGCAGGAAUGCAAAUAAAAAAAAUUUUGUUUAUAUAAGUAAAAUUUAUCCAGUGGUAGAUUUUCUGAAGUGAAAUGAAGCAUCUUGAAUCUUAGCAAAAAGAUUACAGCAUUUCUCAAGAUGUGGGCACACUUACUUCUCAGGCACACAGCUUUUUCCCAAACUGUGAAGGCUCUGAUUUUUUCCCUCACAUGUAGGGCGUGAUUCAGAACAAGUCUCUGCCAAAGGAAACUUCACUAGCUUCAGACUGACAGGAUACUAAAAUUAUUAGGAUAUUAAAAAACAGAGCCCUAUUGUCUAAGAAGCUCACUGUAUUUUGAGGUUGGAUCCAUGCAUUCACACUGGACAGAGGGUAUUUUGAGCUUAUUAGAAGUUUAAGAGAAUUAAGAGAAGUUUAAAGCAACCUAGGUUUGGGCUAUCAGCAAAUUACACCCCUUUCUAACAUGGCAAAUCAUAGAAUCACUGAAGCUGGAAAAAACCUCCAAGAUCAUCCAGUCUAACCAUCCACCUAUCAGAAAUAUUUCCCAAUAAACCUUAUCCCUCCGUACAGCAUCUGAAAUUUUCUUGAACACCUCUGGGGAUAAUGACUCAACCACUUCCUUGGGCAGCCCACUGCAGUCUUGACCACUCUUUAAGAGAAAAAAUACCCAAAUACCCAACCUGACCCCCCUUGGGCACAAUUUGAGACCAUUUCAUCUUGUCCUAUCUCUAGUUACAUGGGAGAAGACACCAACUCCCACUUCACCACAACCUCCUUUCAGCAAGUUGUAGAGAGUGAUAAGGUCUGCCCUGAGCCUCUGUUUCUCCAAAAUCAUGAAAUGCCAUUAUGGUUUGUCUCAUUUACUUGACAGAUGAUGUACCUGUCUCACAGUGCAGUGCUUGGUAAGGUUGCACUUUGUUCCACUAUUCAAGAAGAUUUUGCUCGUGAAGGGUAUCGCUAUGCCAUCUUCUCCCUUUAUGAUGUUCUGUAAGGCACCCAUGAGUCUUACAGUCUGGGUUUUGAUAGAGAAAUGUGAACAUGUGGAAAGUCUCUUCCUCAGCAUUUGUUUCACUGCCAUAUGCAAAAGGCAGACGUAGCUGUGGCCUGUCCAUGCCAGCUUGCCAUCAACUGGAUUAAUGUGGCUUCUGUAUUCACUCAUCUCUUUGCUCCUGCAGUAGAUCUUUUCCUGCAACUGUUAGAGAUGUUCUUCAAAAUUUUGUUUCCUUUGUUAAGUUUCUUUUGGGGAGCUUAGUAGGAUCACACUUUUUCAUUAAUCAUAAAACUGAAUAAAUAUCAAUUUCUUGAUGGUAGCGGAAAUAGGAAAAUAAAAAAAGAUAAAUAAUUGAAUUAAAACAAAAUGGAAGAUUUUCAUUUUUUUCUGGUGAAAAAAAGGAAAAAAAUGAAAUUUUUAUUUUGGGGCUUUUAUCACGUGUUGUUUGUUAUAAUGCUAACUAGUUUCAUAUACAGUAAUUCUCUUUGAUCUCAUUCGAAUUAAAAAAAAAAAAUCCAAAUUGAAAAUAUCAGUCACAAUUGAACUUUCCCAAAAGAAUAGUUCUAGUUUGGGAAAACAGUGGUAUUUUUUUGAAAUUCUAAUUUUAAUUCUAAUUCUAAUUCUAACUAUUAUUAUUAUUAUUAUUAUUAUUAUCAUUAUUAUUAUUUACAGGGAAACAUACAUUAUUUUGAGACACUUUUUUUUUUUUUAUUUGUCAGUAUUUUUCUUUAAAUUGUCUAUUAUUAUUUACGCAUUAUAAUUUCCCAUUGAUAUUGAAGACAAUGUUGAACUGGAUCAAAGGAAAGAAUUAACAUAGUCUUGUAAUAUGUUUCCUCCCUCCCUUCCUAUAAAUGGCUGAAACCCACAAUUAAAUGUAAAGCUUUUGUGAAGUAAGAGCUUAUUUUAGUUGCUGAUGAGGCAAAAAGUUCAUCAGGAUGGCAGGACGAACAUGAUGUCAGCAGCAGUUCUUGACAGAGUUGCAGAACAGCAUUGCUAUUUCUGGGUUUUCAUUCAGAAGCAUGAAUGAUUGAUUGCAUUCUACACUGCUUUCCAUUUUCAUAAAUUAUUGUAAAAUUAUAUAUUAAAAGAGUGAGAUCUUUAAAUGCAGAGGAAAGGGGAAAAUGCAGUCUGUUUGGAAAUUUAGAUUCAGAUAAUAUUUCCAGAUCUGAAUUUUCUUGUCCCACUAUUGUCUGUGUGUUUUUGUGAGUGACCUGUGUUAACCUCGUUUGUUGCAUCAGUCAUCUCUGCACAGAUCAAUGCAGCUGUUUGUCUCAUUAUUACCUUGAUGAGAUUAAUUAUCUCUGAUUAUGUUAGUCUGCUAACAUGCAUAUUCUGCUAGUAUUGUAUAACAGAGGAAGUUAGAAUUUUUACCUUCUGAAAAACACCUUGCAUUCUGUUGACAGAUAUAUUCAUUUUUUAAAGAGGUCUUAUGUGACGAAAAGAAAUGUUUUUGUUUUUUUUUUUUUUCUUCUCUAUUGAAUAUUUGGGGUGGAAAAUAUUUUAAAAAUACAAUUUAGUGUUGUAAACUGCCUUAUAAAUGCCAAAGAACUGAUAGAAAUAUGACAUUUCUGAUGUCUGAAGAUCUUUCUUAAAAGUCUAUUGUUUGUACUGCCCUGAUAAUGCAAGCAUUAUGAGAUAAAGAGCUCUGGAUUGGGUCAUAAAGGCAAUCUGAAGGACCCUGCUUUGUUCAAGAAGGAAUGUGGACAUUCUCAACCUGGAGAACUCCACAAGGGAGGGUCUGAGUUUUACUUCCCAGUAAUACCUAGCACCAAGAAAGUACACUGUUGAUGACAUCUUUCACUCCUUCCAUCAGAUGGGACGAAAAGCACUCUUUAGCUGGCUGUUUCUAUCUACAUGAGACUCAAUUUCCACCUCCCAUCUGCCUUCUUGAUAUACUUCUGCAAAUGUUCCCACUGUUCUUUUAUGGCACUGGGUCACUUUUGCAGAAUUUGCUUGACUGUGUUAAGCUCAGCUUUUGUGCUAUUGUCCUCAGCAUUGCCUCUUAAGGCCACAUAAGGCAAAAUGUAGCUUUUAGCUUUACUUUACUUAGGUGACUGAAAUACAGAGUAAAAUUUCCUCCUUCAGGAAGAGGAACAAUGCCUGGAGAAACCAUGCUGGAAAAUGUGUUGGAGCUGCAAGUUGCCUUACAGUGAGAGAUCUAUCCCAGUCUCAACAAAUCCCAAAGGAUUUGUAGAUUUCCCAGCUAGGAAUUACUUUAGUUUUCUUCUUCUUGUUUAAGGAUAGGUAAGAAAGCUACUCCCUUCAUUGUUUCUUUCCCCAGACAAGCUUCAUAUGUUUUCAUUUUCCAUUCAUGAGGAAAGUACACUGUACAGUGAGUUAAUGCUUUGGCUUUCCAUCUUCAACGGAUUUUGUCUUAUGAAUAUAAAUGCACAGAACGCAGCCAGAGAAUCCAUUCCUGCCAGAUUUUCACAAGUGUGGCAUGGAGUCUCUUUUACAUCACUGAAGAAAAUGCAUAGCUAAUGGUGGUGACUAUGUUGAAAAAUGAGUGUUCUGUACCUGAGAACAUGAUCUACCAAACAGUGUUACUAUGCUCUCUGUAGCUGUUGUAGUUUCCAUGGAAAUAAAUAGGAGGCAUUACUUUCAGAACAACCUUAACAUGAAUACAAUAAUUCAGACUGGAACUCAAGUCAGAACACCACACUGGGACAUCAUGACUACAGCUCAUUGGGAAUAGUGCCAUCUGAUGAAUCACUAAAAAGUCUGCCAACAGACAUCCUUGCAGUCUUGAACUCAGUUCUGCUGAUACAUCUGCAUAACCUUGAUAAGCAUUAUGGAGAGCAUAGAUUUCUCCGUUUCUGACUCACAAAGGUAAUAACAAGAAAUCAAACUAAUUCUGGUCAUAAUCUACCCUGAAUUGCAGCUCCCACCAGCUUGCUGAAGGUCGUCACUUUUAUCCUUGGAGCCGUGUUUUCCCUCUUGUGUCAAGCCGGGGCAUUCUUGGGUGUUCACUGACUGCUUUCUGACCAUAUAUUUUAUUGACAGUGUUAACUAAAAGCAUUUUAAAGGAGCUUCCCAGAAGGAUAAAGAAGUUAUUAGUGACUGAACCAUGAAGACUUCGGAAUCAAGGUCACGACUGCACAGAAGCAUGGAGUGAAGUACAUACACUCUGAGAACUGUAAACCUGGAUAUUUAAGCAUUUGCAGCACCUACAACUUUUGCUGCUGCUCUGUGAAAUACAGCUUCGUUUGCUGGUGAAUCAGUCUUAUAAAAAUGGUAAUUGUGAAGUGCAGUUGCUAGCUGUAUCAGGAGAAAAGGGAUUUUACGUGUAAUGGAGAUUCUUUUAAUGAUAAAUUAUCUAGCUCCUGGCUACCAUGUAUGAGCUCUAUUAAUUGGCAAUAAAUUGUUCAUCAUUAAA